GCUUAAUUCAUGGUCGAGCAGUAAAGACACUUGCCUCUCACUCCGGAGUCCCGGGUUCGAUCCCCGGUCAAGCA